CCACAGAGUCCAGUAAGUCUCUUUCUGUCCCACCCUGUACUUCCUCCCACCACAGUAUCAAAAAAUGUUCUUAAUAAAUUCCUGCACACUCUGUGACAGUGCACUUUCAACAGCACACAAUUCAAGGUGUAAUUUUACAAAUUGUGAUCUAAUAUGGCCCAGUUCAUUAAUCUAAGGAUAGUGGGAAAAGUGGCCGCAACAAAGAUGGCGCCUAUGUUCGCUCGGGCAUUUCCGGAUGCAAGAUGACGUAGGCACUAGAGGCGCUUAAAAGAGCCAUGGCGGAGAUAACAGGGAGCGAGCAAGUUCACCGGAAGCUGAGUUAUUGUGUGUUGCUGCGGCGAAUGGAUAUUAUUUCACGGUGGUAUGGAGUAUGUCGCUGUUCCUGUAAUGCAGAUUAACACGGACGGAGGAUUGGGAGCUGCUCUUUACUUCGGAAAGCUGGUGGAGGUGAGACCAUCACUGCUUUGGGGAAGAAACCUGUAGCGUGACACACCAGCUCUGGAGAAGAGGCUUCUUCCUGGAACAGUGACAUCUCAGGACGAACUGCAGAGACACACAGAGACAGAAAUAUUAAAAAUACCUGUGAGACUUAUUUAGAAGUGUGUCAGACAUCCUUUUGUAAUGCAGUGAGAUUUUCUUGCCAAUUAUCUACAUUUUUUGGCUGUACAGAUGUAAUCACAGCAAAUAGCCAGGAUACCCACACAACUGUGAGGGCAAUAUCGAUUUUACACAACAAUUCAAUUAAAUAAAUUAACAUUGAGUUACUUCAGA